GCCCUUGUAACAUGCUGCUAAGGGCAGGGAGGUGCUUCCAACAGUACAUUGUUGACAUGUACGUGAAGAUUGAAAACACUCGCUUGGACUUUUUCCGAAAGAACCAGCAAACUAUCAGGGCAGAUUUGUACCAAGGUAUACUCGACACUGUCGAGAGCGGUGAAAACAGUGCAGCUAAUGUGGGGCAUCGAGUUGUGUUACCACCAAGUUUUCUGGGGGGGCCUAGGGAUAUGAAAAAGAGGUAUUUGAAUGCGAUGUCCUUAGUUAAGAAGUAUGGGAAGCCUGAUUUGUUCCUUACAAUGACGUGCAAUCCUAAUUGGCCAGAGAUUAAACAAGAGUUGGCUGUCGGAGAGGAGGCACAAAACCGGCCAGAUUUAGUUUCAAGGAUUUUCCGUGCUAAACUGAUAGCGCUAAAACACCAUAUCAUGAAAAAAAAAAUAUUUGGUGAAGUUGCUGCUAUGAUAUAUGUUGUUGAGUUCCAGAAACGGGGGUUGCCGCACGCUCAUUUCCUUGUUAUCCUUAAACCCAAUUCUAAGAUUAGAAGCCCUGCUGACUUUGAUAAGUUUGUUUCUGCUGAGAUCCCUCCUCUUGCCAACCCUCACUUGAGGAAGAUUGUUCUUCAACACAUGAUGCAUGGCCCAUGUGGACAACUGAACCCUGAUUGUGCGUGCAUGAAACGGAAAGGUAAUGAGGGGCACUGCAAGUAUGGAUAUCCGAAAAAAUUUGCUGCCGAGACAACUAACAGCAGCGAUGGAUACCCACUUUAUAAAAGGAUAGAUACUGGAGAAAGUGUUUGUAUUCGCAGGGUUAAUAUGGAUAACAGGUCAGUUAUUCCGUAUAACCCGUACCUAUCAUCACUUUUUGAUUGCCACUUAAACGUUGAGGUUUGUUCGACCAUAAUGGCAGUCAAAUACCUGUACAAAUAUGUGUACAAGGGCCAUGACAGGAUCUCAUUCAACGUGCAGGAUGGUAGCACUGCUAUUGUUGAUGAGAUACAACAGUACCAGGCUGGGAGGUGGGUUUCCCCGUGUGAGGCAGCAUGGAGAAUUUUCGGGUUCGAUCUGUUUGAGAUGUUUCCAUCGGUGUUGCCUCUGCAAAUACAUCUGCCUAACUUGCAGACAAUCCAGGUAAUGCCUCAUGAGAAUUUAGACGAGAUCAUUUUAAAUGAUAAAAGAUCUCGAACUCAACUUACAGAAUUCUUUAGGAUGAAUGCUGCCACACCUGAUGGAACGGGCUAUACAUAUGCAGAAUUUCCAGAGCAUUAUAAGUGGGAGGGUAAAGAAUGGAAAAAAAGAAGCAACAAGACCGUUGUUGUUGGCAGGCUCACUUUUGUAGCACCUGCUGAAGGGGAACGUUACUUCCUCAGAUUAUUACUGAUGCAUGUGGAUAGCCCGCGAUCCUUUGAUCAUCUCCGAACUGUUGAUGGAUAUAAGUGUGCCACUUUUCAGGAGACAGCUCUGCGGCUGAAAUUGCUAGAGGAAGACAACGCUGUCGACUUGUGCUUAGCUGAAGCGUGUGAAGUGCAAAUGCCGACUGCAUUCCGACAGCUCUUUUCAACAGUGCUGAUCUUCUGCCAGCCAAGUGACCCCAAUGCCCUUUGGUUAAAAUACUACGACGCUCUCUCUGAAGAUUAUAGGCACCAGUAUCCGAGUUCUGAUAGCAGGUCAAGGGAGCUCACUGUUAGAUCUGUUGAGCAAUCUCUUGAAGCAAUGGGGAAAUCAUUUAGAGACUUUGGCCUACAACAUUUAAAUGAUUUUCAAGAUGAAGAGUUCAGGCGAACAAAAGACAUUAUCGAUGCACUUGAUGCACCGAUACCUCGGGACUGUAUUGAUGCCCGUAACACAUUAAACCAAGCACAGCAGGAGGCAUUUGACAGCAUUAUUGACCACGUUCUUAAAGGGAAACCUGGUGCAUUCUUCAUAGACGGGCCCGGAGGAACAGGUAAAACCUUCCUAUACAAUGCUCUCUAUGCAGAGGUUCGUUUGAUGAACAAGAUUGUCCUACCAACUGCGACAUCUGGAAUUGCAGCAUCAAAUAUACCUUCUGGGAGGACUGCUCACUCUCGGUUUAAAAUACCGAUAGAUUCUGAUGCUUCCCUUGCUUGCGAUGUUCCUAAACAGGGCAGUCUUGCAUGUUUACUAAAAGAGACAUCGUUGAUUAUUUGGGACGAAGCUUCAAUGGCAAGGAAAGAAAAUGUUGAGUCAUUAGACAUGCUUCUACGAGACUUGUGUGAUGAGAAUACCCUUUUUGGUGGCAAGCUUGUGGUUUUUGGUGGCGACUUCCGUCAGGUCCUGCCCGUCCUACCCCGCAAAACACAGCGAGAAGCUGUUGCUGCUAGCUUAGUGAGUUCUGUUCUUUGGCCUCGGUUCAUUAGGUUCAAUCUCACUGAAAAUGUUCGGGCAAGAGAAGAUCCCUACUUUUCUGCGUUUUUGCUUUCUCUUGGAAAUGGUGAGCUGCAAACCGGCGAGAAUGACCUUGUGCAAUUGCCAAUGCAGAUAGUACACCCAUCUGAGGUCGCUUCUGAUCCUAUUGCCGAACUGACUGCAAUUGCAUUUCCCGAGGUAGAUGUUUGCAGGUCCACCCCAGGCAAUUUCACAACAACGGCUAUACUGACCCCCCUGAAUGAAGAUGUUGAUGAUAUCAAUGCUACCCUGAUAGACAAAUUCCCUGGAGAAUCUGUUAUGUACAGGAGUUUUGAUACAGUUCUUGAUGAUAAUAGCGCGAUCUAUCCUCCUGAAUUUAUACACACCCUCUGCCCAGGUGGAAUGAGCCCAUACAAGCUCGUCUUGAAGAAAAAUUGUCCAGUUCUUCUGCUUCGCAAUAUCCUGCCUUCGUCUGGCCUGUGCAAUGGGACACGUAUGAUAUGCAAGAAUUUCUACCCGAAUCUGAUUGAAUGCAUGAUCACGACUGGGCAGCACAGCGGAAGCCAUGUUUUUAUACCCCGAAUUAGGCUUCGGCCGUCUGCAUCUUCCAAUUAUCCUUUCCAAUUUCAGAGGAAACAAUUCCCUAUAAAACUAAGCUUUGCAAUGACGAUAAACAAGUCACAAGGGCAAACACUAAGCCAAGUCUCCAUCUAUCUUCCCCAGCCGUGUUUCUCCCAUGGUCAGCUUUAUGUGGCAUUGUCUCGUGCUAGAAAAGCAUGUAACGUCAAAGUUGUUUCAAAACAAUCUCCGGGACACCAACCUGAGCACCAUGUUAGAAAUGUCAUCUCUUAUGAUGUGCUCAGAUUAGCCGGUAUCAUAUGAUAUACAGUUGUUGCUCCUUUUUGUGCCUUUUGGUUUGUGCUGCAAAUAUGCCCGUGAAAAACAGCCCACCUGUGUAGAAAAUCAUGCAAGCACAUGCAUUCUAAUGUCAUCUACAGGUUCCUGUUGCAGAGGAAAUGAUAAAUAAGAUCAAGAAAUUUUUGGUGUUCAUAUAUGCCAAGUGAGGGCUCUGAUAGCUCAUACAACCUCAUAUUAUUCUUUCUACUGUCGUUGCUUGCAGGUAUGAGCGAGGUUCAUGACGUAUCCCCUCAUUUUGCCCACAGUUCCAAUGGUGUAUGCAUAAUUUAGUGCGAUCAAGUUGUAAGAAUAGACUGCUGAAUUUGGUUUUGAGAUUUGUGUUCUAAACUGUUAUAAUGUCGUGAACAUGCAUUUGUUUCUGUAUAGUAAGCAUCCUAUUAAAUGUAGCCGUUCUCUUGGUCAAUCUUCAAAAGGUUAACCACCAAUUUUAGCAAGUUUCCUAAUCGAGCCGGUUUUGUAUCACCACUUUUACCCACUUCCCUACUCGAGUAUUCCUAAUUAAGGCGUUUUUUCCCCUGUCAACUUAGCUUGAGAAUAUCACUUUAGACGCUUGCAACUUAUCUAUUACUAACUUCUUUUGAAAUAUACACUCGGAAACUGGUUAUACGAAUGUAACCAUCAUGGUUCUACAGAUGUUGCUCACCGUAAUAUAGGAUGUUCCGUAACCCUUUAAAUAAAAAAUCUCGCAGAAAUCUAUGAAGCACUAAACUUUCAUCAUGAUA